AUUGAACGCUGGCGGCAUGCUUUACACAUGCAAGUCGAACGGCAGCGCGGGCUUCGGCCUGGCGGCGAGUGGCGAACGGGUGAGUAAUGCAUCGGAACGUGCCCAGUAGUGGGGGAUAGCCCGGCGAAAGCCGGAUUAAUACCGCAUACGACCUGAGGGUGAAAGCGGGGGACCGUAAGGCCUCGCGCUAUUGGAGCGGCCGAUGUCGGAUUAGCUAGUUGGUGGGGUAAAGGCUUACCAAGGCGACGAUCCGUAGCUGGUCUGAGAGGACGACCAGCCACACUGGAACUGAGACACGGCCCAGACUCCUACGGGAGGCAGCAGUGGGGAAUUUUGGACAAUGGGGGCAACCCUGAUCCAGCCAUGCCGCGUGCGGGAAGAAGGCCUUCGGGUUGUAAACCGCUUUUGUUCGGGAAGAAAGCCUCUGGGCUAAUACCCCGGGGGGAUGACGGUACCGGAAGAAUAAGCACCGGCUAACUACGUG
rnacentral:rRNA from 1 species